rnacentral:lncRNA from 1 species
GUGAGCAAAGAGAAGGCUACCAUUUCUCUCCAGAGAUUGUCAAUGACAGCAGAAACAGCUCGUUCUAUUGUUGGACAUGGUGGAAUUAGGCCUCUAAUCGAGAUAUGCCGUACUGGUGAUUCUGUUUCACAGGCUGCUGCUGCUUGUACCUUAAAGAAUAUAUCUGCUGUGGUUAGGCCUCUAAUUGAGAUUUGCCGUACUGGUGAUUCUGUUUCACAGGCUGCUGCUGCUUGUACCUUAAAAAAUAUAUCUGCUGUGCCAGAAGUUCGACAAGCUCUAGCUGAAGAAGGAAUCAUAAAAGUUAUGAUAAAUCUCCUCGAUUGUGGAAUACUGUUGGGAUCUAAAGAGUAUGCAGCUGAAUGCUUGCAAAAUCUAACUUCCGGAAAUGAUGAUCUUCGACGAUCAGUUGUGUCAGAGGGUGGAAUCAGAAGCCUGUUGGCAUACUUAGACGGCCCGCUUCCCCAUUGCAAAAUCUAACUUCCGGUAAUGAUGAUCUUCGACGAUCAGUUGUGUCAGAGGGUGGAAUCAGAAGCCUGUUGGCAUACUUAGACGGUGCACUUCCCCAAGAAUCAGCUGUAGGGGCCUUGAGAAAUUUGGUUGGCUCCGUCUCAAUGGAGGUUUUAAUCUCGCUAGGUCUCCUUCCGAGGUUGGUUCACGUGCUCAAGUCAGGAUCACUUGGUGCACAACAGGCUGCAGCAUUAGCAGUCUGUCGAAUUUGCACCUCAACUGAGAUGAAGAAACUUUUGGGUGAAGCUGGAUGCAUUCCUCUCCUUAUUAAGAUGUUGGAGGCUAAAGCAAAUGGGGUGAGGGAAGUUGCUGCUCAAGCGAUUGCUAGCCUAAUAUCCCUGGCACAUAAUUGCAGGGAAGUCAAGAGGGACGAUAAAAGCGUGCCAAAUUUGGUGCAGCUGCUUGAUCCAGCUCCUCAAAACACUGCUAAGAAGUAUGCUGUCGCUUCCCUUUCCUUGCUUUCCUCGAGCAAGAAAUGCAAGAAACUGAUGAUUUCAUAUGGAGCAAUUGGCUAUCUAAAGAAGCUAACUGAGAUGGAUAUUCCAGGUGCGAAGAAGCUACUCGAACGCUUAGAAAGAGGGAAAUUAAGAAGCAUGUUUAGCAGAAAAUAGAUAGGCCAAAAAGUCACUGUCCUUGUACAAUGAAACCUUACUCUUAAAUCAUAUAGCGCGAUUGGCUAUCUAAAGAAGCUUACGGAGAUGGAUAUUCCAGGUGCAAAGAAGCUACUAGAACGUCUGGAAAGAGGGAAAUUAAGAAGCAUGUUUAGCAGAAAAUAGGUAGGCCAGAAAGUCACUGUCCUUGUACAAUGAAAUCUUACUCUUAAUUAAAUCAUAAUGUCAAUUGUAGCUCAAGGGGAGGAUUUAGGAUGCAAAAGCCUGUUGAUCUAUGCUGUCAAUGGUUUAAAAUAAAACCUCCGGACCAUUUGUAUAACUACUCUCAAGUUAUAUUUAUCAGUAUAUCU